GUGCCAGCAGCCGCGGUAAGACGAAGGGGGCUAGCGUUGUUCGGAAUUACUGGGCGUAAAGCGUGUGUAGGUGGUUGUCAUAGUCAGGCGUGAAAGCCUUGAGCUCAACUCAAGAAAUGCGCUUGAUACUGGGCAGCUAGAGGACCGGAGAGGAUAGUGGAAUUCCCAGUGUAGUGGUGAAAUACGUAGAGAUUGGGAAGAACACCAGUGGCGAAGGCGGCUAUCUGGACGGUUUCUGACACUAAGACACGAAAGCGUGGGGAGCAAACAGGAUUAGAUACCCUGGUAGUCC
rnacentral:rRNA from 1 species